rnacentral:rRNA from 1 species
CCUACGGGUGGCAGCAGUGAGGAAUAUUGGUCAAUGGGCGCGAGCCUGAACCAGCCAAGUCGCGUGAGGGAAGACGGUCCUAUGGAUUGUAAACCUCUUUUGCCGGGGAGCAAAAGACGCCACGCGUGGCGUUCCGAGAGUACCCGAAGAAAAAGCAUCGGCUAACUCCGUGCCAGCAGCCGCGGUAAUACGGAGGAUGCGAGCGUUAUCCGGAUUCAUUGGGUUUAAAGGGUGCGCAGGCGGAAGAUCAAGCCAGCGGUAAAAUUGCGGGGCUCAACCUCGUCGAGCCGUUGAAACUGGGGUGCUUGAGUGCGGGAGAGGUAUGCGGAAUGCGUGGUGUAGCGGUGAAAUGCAUAGAUAUCACGCAGAACCCCGAUUGCGAAGGCAGCAUACCGGCGCUCAACUGACGCUGAGGCACGAAAGUGUGGGGAUCGAACAGGAUUAGAUACCCCGGUAGUC